UGAAUCAUAACAUCAUUUUUUAUUUUUAUGUUUUGUGUGGAGAAGUUGCUUUGAUAGCAGGAAUAUCUUUGAUGCAACUACAAGUUGUUUGAGAUCCAUCAUGAACAAGGAUGUCCUUCUGCCUUUUGAGGUUGGACAAGUGGCUGAAUCAAGAUCAUUUCAGUCAGGGUAUCGUGGUGCGUGGUUCCGAUGCAAGAUAAAAGAGAUUGGCUGGAGACAAGGGCAUAUUGGGCAUGCCUUGGAAUUUGUUGAUUUCCCCGAUGAAAAAAUAAAUUGGACAAGGUUAUAUCAAGUUCCCCCAACUAAUGGUAGGAAGUCAAAGGUGAUAAAAAGGCAACUGAUGGUGCGUCCACGGUAUCCUCCUAUCAUCUAUCAUGAAAGUGAAAUUCCUAAUGUCAAGACCGAUUCAGAAGUGGCAGUUAUCGUUGAUGGUGCCUGGAAAGUAGGGGACUUAAUUGAUUGGUGGACUACUGAUUGUUAUUGGUGUGGACGAGUGACUCAAAUUUUGGGCAACGACAAGGUUCAGAUUUAUUUGCUACCGCCUCCUCUGGGUGAAGGUUUAUCAUAUGAAGUUUUCUGCAAGGAUCUACGCCCAUCCUUGGAUUGGUCUCCAGAAUGUGGUUGGACAGUGCCUACUCCAAUGGCUCGGCUGAUUCAGGAUGAUGAAAACUUUCAUCCUUGUGCUCGGCUGAUUCAGCUGGUGAAUCAAGAGAAGUCAUUACCAGCUCUGGAUGAAGCAAAGCUGUCUGUACCAAGGGACGUGCUGAAACAACCGUUAAGCAUCCCUGUUUCCAAGGAGGCGAUGCACAUGCCAGAAACAAAUACGGAAACUGAAGGGCAUGCUGGGGAAGACCUUUAUUAUCGCGAGGAUUCCUCAAAGAAGAUGAGAACUGGUGGAAGCAUUUCCAUAAAUUCUAUGUGCUCUGACACUUUAGAAGCCGCAAUUAUGGAUUUGGAGGAACUUGCAAAUAGGGUCAAAUGGCUUAGGAGCAUUCUAGAAUUUGGAAUUCCUUUGUCCAAUGCCGUGAGACCUCCAUGGAAGUUUGUGGAACACCGUGCAUCAUCUGCACCAAAAUGAGUGAUUAAAGAAACGCAAGCCUCCAGCAACAUCUUGGUUCUCUGGUCAAGCAAGCAAUCUCUCUCCUCUGCUUAGUAUUUCAUAAACCUUUUGUGGUGGUGUUGGUUGGAUUUCUGAUUUGAUUGAAGAGAUUACUGGACGCAGCAUCGUCUACUGAAAGAAUGUUCCAGUUGUGCAUGGGGAGAACCUUACAGAUGUAUCAUGAUUCUGAUUGAAAAGUAUGUCAUUUCUUGUAGCUACUUCUGUGCAGUCAGACUUGUGAGUGCUCUAUUUCAGUCUGGUAUCACUUCCUUUUUCAUUUUUUUUUUCCCUUUUAAAAUUUCCUUGUGUAAGCUCCACGUGUCAAUGUGCAAAAUUGUAUCUAAGGGUUCUUAUUUCGGAUUCAGUCAAAAAUUGCUACGUGGGACUUGUACUGAAUUCUAUAGUGCCAUUUUAGCAUGAAGUUCUAAAAUAAUGGCACUUGAGGGUUUCAAAUAUGGCCUCUAUUGAUUCUUCUAAUGUAGUAUUACCAAAAUUUCCAUUGA